rnacentral:rRNA from 1 species
UAGGGAAUCUUCGGCAAUGGACGAAAGUCUGACCGAGCAACGCCGCGUGAGUGAAGAAGGUUUUCGGAUCGUAAAACUCUGUUGUUAGAGAAGAACAAGGACGUUAGUAACUGAACGUCCCCUGACGGUAUCUAACCAGAAAGCCACGGCUAACUACGUGCCAGCAGCCGCGGUAAUACGUAGGUGGCAAGCGUUGUCCGGAUUUAUUGGGCGUAAAGCGAGCGCAGGCGGUUUCUUAAGUCUGUUGUGAAAGCCCCCGGCUCAACCGGGGAGGGUCAUUGGAAACUGGGAGACUUGAGUGCAGAAGAGGAGAGUGGAAUUCCAUGUGUAGCGGUGAAAUGCGUAGAUAUAUGGAGGAACACCAGUGGCGAAGGCGGCUCUCUGGUCUGUAACUGACGCUGAGGCUCGAAAGCGUGGGCAGCAAACAGG